GAAAAAUCUAUCAAACUAUGUCUCAAUGUUUCUCAAAAUUACUGUAGCUGGCUAAUACAUGUUAUCAUGCUUUGUGAUACACCCAGUUUUAUGCAGUUGAAGUCCAAACAACAUGUCGCCCUGUGACCUACAGUAGAUCCUGAUAUACAACAUGGGGGGAACAAUAAAAUUGGCCAUGCUUUUUUGUUCUACCAGAUCUGCGAUGAGAAGGUUCUAGCUAGUGGAUCCCUCUGUCCUUCGACUCUUAUUGUAUGCAGUUGUCCAGUUUAUCAGGUCCCAGCCUCCCGUGACAGUUAUGAUUAUUUAUUUACAAGUUAAUUAACAUUUGCUUUAGCACCAUCUGUACCUGAUAGAGCAGAUCUAGUCCCACGUGCGAGAGAUUCAUCACUGGGAGGAAGACUAGAGCAGACCCAGAAGUUGUGACUGAAUGGAUGCACAUUUGAGGGCCCCAGGAUGGUCCAUUUACUUUGUGUUGUUAUAAUUUAUGCUAUGAAAUCCUACGAAUCCUACGAUAAAUCAUUAAAAUCCAGACUGAAAAUAUUUACACAAGAAGCAACCUAAUAUCACACAGUCAACCUCUCAGUCAUUUAGUAAGUUCACCAUUCUGCCAUUCCCACUGUUAAACAUUGCACAGUGCACUACGAUUUCAUUGGGGAAGUUCCUCCUCAUAGCAAAUAGCUGGCAAAACAUUCCAAGCAAUGUCUACACCACCUAUGUGCCCAUGGAGACGGAGCUGCUGCUUCUGCUGCUGCUGGCAGUCACUGAGGGGCAAAGUAGUACUUCAAUAAAGGAAGCAGCAUGACAACUGGAGGCUGACUAGAAGGGAGGAACGAUCAGAGUGGUUAACUAUAGAUUCUCAGAGAGUAGGCUAUUGUCCAGUCUCAGACCACAUAAAAGACCACAUACCAUAUGUAUCCUCCAGAAACCUGUUACUUUUUAGCCUACUGUGCUUUAAGAGGCUAGCAUCAAAGUGAAAGUCAUACAGAGUAUUUUCAAAGGGAAGAGCCAGGACAGCUAGCAACAUAACAUGGAGCUGCCAGGAGCAGAAGGAUUGGUGAGCGAUCAGAUAGGGCAGAAUUGAUGACCUGGCUCAGGAUGGAUUUCUGGGAGAGCGGGCUGCCAGAGCGAGGGUCUGUGUGUGUGCUGGGCUGGCUGGACAGAGUGGGCUGGUGCUUGUGGAGAUGGCCUCAUGUCACUCAUUACAAACUCCAUGGAGUUCCCAGCUAUCAAUAUAGAAUGCAUUUUUUUUGCAAGCAGAAAUCCAAUUACGGAUAGUCUAGAAGCUGUUAGGGUCAGGAAUAAAAGUUCAAAAAGACAGAGUUAGUUAUUUAAUUUCCAUCUUUGUUGUGGAUGAUACAUGUAAUAAGAUGUCUUAAUUAAAG
rnacentral:lncRNA from 1 species